GCGUCUCUCCGGCUCCUGGCGCGGGGCUGACUCGGGGGCCGCUGGCCCCUCUUGGCCGCCGUCGCCACGCACCGAGUUUGUGUUUAAGGAGAAACUAACAAUGAAAACGGCCUCGUUGACGGAGGAAAAGUUGGAAUGCAGCCUCUGGUGCUGUUUGAGCGAUCCCUCUCCCCGGGGCCUGGCCGCGCGCUGCUGUGUUCUGGAAGGGCUCAUUGUACAGUCAAGGCGGCAGGGCCUUCUUCUGUCACCCAUGCUGGAGUGCAGUAGCAUGAUCACAGCUCACGGUAGCCUCCACCUUCUGGGCUCAAUCCUCCUACCUCAGCCUUCCAAGUAGCUGGGACUACAGUCUUGAGGAUCCAUUUUCUGAGACGGUGAUGGGAAAGAUGUUGGUUGUCAAGUGGAAUCUCAGCAGUCAUUUUCAGACAAAGUUAGAGAAAACAAGUAUGGAAGAUGCCUGAUUCUCAAAGAGUCAUCCAGUCUUGGGAUUACCGCCUACGUCCAUGGAAGUGAAAGUCCUCUUUUUCUUUGUACCACUUACUGAGCCUUGCAUCCCAGGG